AGGAAGAGGGGGUGCAGCCAGGCAGCACCUUCUCUCCGUGGUGCCGGGUUAAAGCACGGGAGGCCGGCAGGUUUGAUCCACCCGGAUUAUUCGUGCUUUGAGGACAGCUCCCCACCCCCACCCCAGGUGCGCAUUGGAUUGAGCUACGAGGGUUCAGUUGUCAUCCUCCCAUCUGACGGUCCUGGGACCCGAGUCCAGGCCUGAAGUGGUGGGGUGGGGGGGUGCUGUGUUUGCUCCAGCCGUGUCCAGAAAAUGCCCUCCCAGGUAUCUCUCCAGUGCACCCCCGGCCCCCAUCUGAAGACAGCCGCUGGCUACACACACCCCUGUCCCUACACUUCCAGUCCAGGUCCUCACACUGCCCCAUCCCUGGCCAGCACCUCACUGUACCUGCCUGGACCCUUUCUUCCUGUUCCAACCCCCAUCCACCCCCAGCCAUGGCAGCUGCGUGGGGGUUUCUGUAUCCCAGUUCCAGGCAGGGCCCCCCUCUUCCGCCUGGCUUCCACUAGACUCAGAGCUGGGGUCUGUCUUCCCACAUCCCACAUCCCAACAUGUGUGCCUGGGGGCAGGAGGGGGAGGGGUUCAAAAUGGCUGCCAAGAUGGCUGUCUCGCUGUCUCGCGCUCUCUCUCUCGCUGUCUCUCUCUCGCUCUCUGUCUUUCUCUAUAUCUCUCUCUCUCUCUUCCCCUCUCUGCUUGCCCGGCUCCCUUAUCCUGGUAGGGAGUCACUGCUUAGAGGAGGUUGGACCCAGUGGGGCACACCUGAGGGUGAAUGUAUAUUCCCGGCCGUUGACCUCCAUGCUGUUUGGGGACAGACCAUUGGUUUCUGCUUCUCUCUCCAACACCCCAAGGGCUGCCAUGUGCCUAACCUGACCCCAGACCCCACUCCUUCACCCUGGCUCACAGCCUGAAAGCUCCCUGCCCUCCACCUGCUCUCCAGGGCCUGGCCCCCUGAAUUGAUCAACCCCGCGGAGGGUCCACACCCCUCAUUCUCUUCUCCGGUCUGCCCCACGGCCCGGGGGCAGGGGAUUGAUUCUGCGUGGGCCCCUGUCAGGCCCCAGCUUUGGGGGGCAGGUGACUUCUCCUUCCUCCCUGCUCCCCUUCCAUUAAUGCCAAAUUUAUUACUUAAAAGUAGGAUGAAAACAGGGAGAAUAAGAGAAGGUUUACAAUCUUCAUUAUCAUAUCGAGAAAAUUAUCCGUGAUUUUCCUAACUAGCAAUUUGCCUGCCAUGCCGUUCAGAACUGACUUGCCCAUUAAUUACAGAGAUGAAAAAUCAUCUGGAAUUCGGAAAAGGGAACUAAUUCCAUGGCUGGCAGCGAUCGCACCCGUGCACGGAGCCACAUACAUGUGCGACAUACGUGUGCGCUCACAUGUAGGUCCCGGCCCUCUUGCUGGUCUUGCCACCAUCUUCCUACCCAGCUUGGUGACCUCCCUCAUGGCCUUGCUCGGUCCACCCCAUGUGUGUGUGGCACCUGCCCUGGGACACCCCUGCAGGCCCUCUUUCUCUCCAAGGGGCGCCCAUCUCAAUCCCCACUUCUGGGAAGCUUGCGUACCCCGUGAUCACCCACGCUGAUUCCUGCUCUUGGGGGUGUAGCUGGCGCCCAGGGUUGGGGAGGAUGGAGAGCUGGGGACCAGCACACCUGGGCUGUGGAGCCUGCAGGGAGGGGGUGGAAGGGGGGGACUUGAAGCCCAGCUUCUAUUCCCAGCCUGCCCAGGGGAGCCCUUUCUCCUGGGGGGCCUAGUAGGACCCUGUGGGCACGUUGGGGAGGAGCCUACAGGCGCCUCAGCUGCACGGGAGUGUGUUUGCAUCCAGCAGUUUGGGCCCCCGGCCGGUGGCGUCUCCACCUGCACGUGAGGCUGUGUGAUGCUUGCAGGCAUCUCGGUGGGGAGGGUGGCAGCGGGUGCCCCUCAAGAGGAACAGGAGGAGUGGGAGCACUGCCAUCCCCGCUGGAGCAUCGUCUUUGCCCUCCACCCCCUCCUUCCUCCCUGGCGAGACAUGUGGCCAGGGACACACAAGGCUCUGGGUUCUGUGUGGGUUCCUCUCACGGAUCUGAUUUCCACAUGCCAGACACUUCCCCUUCUUCCAGCCCCUCCGUGGGGAGGCAGGGAGAGGGGCUCCCGAGGCGGGGGUUCCCUGGGUCUGAAACCCU
rnacentral:lncRNA from 1 species